UAGGGAAUCUUCCACAAUGGACGCAAGUCUGAUGGAGCAACGCCGCGUGAGUGAAGAAGGUCUUCGGAUCGUAAAACUCUGUUGUUAGAGAAGAACACGAGUGAGAGUAACUGUUCAUUCGAUGACGGUAUCUAACCNGCAAGUCACGGCUAACUACGUGCCAC
rnacentral:rRNA from 1 species